CGCCGGCGCUGACUACUGGUCCCUGUCCCCGGCCGAUAGCAGUCGGCCUGAGGAUCCCGCGUUUUGCAAGGUGCCUCGGAAUGCCCGCUUCCUUUGGAGCCCCUUCCACCAGAGCAGACCCGAACCCAAACCCAGCACAGUACACUGAAGCACCCGGAGAUCAAACACCUUGCCAGAGGUUGCAUAGCUAAUAAGUGGAGACCUGAGAUUUGAACCCAGACAAUGAGAGUCUUGAACAACUACUCUUGACUGCCUUUCAAGCAAGAGGAAAGAACAUUCCAGGAGGAAGGCAUAGCAGAAACAGAGGGGAAAACAGAGCAUGACAUAGAAAUUGCCAUGAGAUGGAGAAUAAUCAGUCGUCAGAAGAAAGUAGAAGACCAACUCUUACAGCUGAGUAGAAGGGAGGCAUAUGUAAGAUUUGAGGCGACCUGCAAGAAUACACACGUCAAAAGAAGACUUUGAAAGCGUUUUCGUUUCCUGGGGCCAGCAUAACAAAGUACCACAAGAUGGGUGGCUUAGACAAUGGAAAUGUAUUGUCUCACAGUUCUGGAGGCCAGAAGUACAAGACUGGGUUUUGGCAAGGUUGGUUCCUUCUGGAAAAGCUAGGGAAAGAUCUGUUCCAGGCCUUCUCCUUACUUCUGGAAGUCUCUUGGCUUUUAACAGCAUAACUACUGUCUUCACAUGGCAUUCUUCCUGUAUGCAUGUCUGUGUCCAAAUUUCACCUUUUUAUAAGGACACCAGUCAUAUUGGAUGUGGGUCCCACUUUAGUCCAAUGUGACCUCAUCUGCAAUGACCCUGUUUCCAAAUAGGAUCAUAUUCUGAGGUACUGGGGCUAGAACUUCAACAUGAAUUUUGAAGGGAUACGAUCCAACUCCUCACAAGAAAUAAAAAUGAAGAAAGCAUGGAGAAAUUUUCAGGAAACAGAAUACACACAUUCAUCUCUUCACCAUCCUAAAAACCUCAGCAAAUUAAUAAUAAAUAAUAGAAAUAAUAAAAAGUUAUCAGUCCACAAGCAGAAAGUGGCUCCAGGAAAGACCCGAGUAUGUAGGUGAUGGAGGACGGUUAGCAGAGAGACAGGAGAGGGAACUGACUUGGCAGGAAAGGAUGAACAAAUUCUAAAUAAGUACAAAUUAUAAAUACAGUGAGGAAAUGGUGAGAUGAAUUUGUAAAACACGGUCUACCCAUAGAGCAAGCAUCAAUUACAUUCUGCAGACAAACUAUCUGUGUUUUUAUAGGCAAUUGUUUGCACUGCUAUCAGUUUUCUGUAUUUUAAGGAGUUGUAAAAUAAGUCUAGUCAAAGAUAAACAGGGGUGUGCAUUCCUAGAACAUCACAUAAUCCCAGACUCUUGAACAUUCCUUUGCAAAGAUGUCUGGUAAUUGCUUUUGCCCAUUUGAAAGUCUUAAUAUUUUUCCUUAUUUGUAGUUGGGGGCUCACCAGCGUCUGGAAUCCCAUGUCAUAUGGUCUUGGGUGAUUAUUCAGUAGUGGGUACAGAUUUGGUUUGAGUCCAUGGGAGCCAAAGCAAAAGGGGAAACUGGUUAUAUACCUUUAUUGGAGUGCCCAGUGGGGCUUAAAAUAUUUGAAACUGAAGAAGUUUCAUUUCAUUUUUAAUUACUGGCUACUUUUUUUAUUUGAAGAAAAGAAGGGAUCAAUUUGCUUCUGUAGUCAGCUUCCUUUGUUUGUGAGAAAAUUAUCAAGACGAUUCUUUUAUUUAUACAAAAGUAAAGCAA